GAGUUGAGUGGCAGAAAAGAAGAGAGAGAAUGAAUAAUGACUUAAAGUGGAAACAAGAAACCCCACCUUUCAUCCCACUAUCUUCAUUUUUUAUCUCUUUUCUCUACACUACUUAAACAGUACUAAGAUAUAGGUUGGAUUGUGUGUGAGUGUGGUAAUGGUCUCUUUCAGUUUCAGGAGUUGAUUGAUUUGUUAUAAGGAAUUGUUGAAACAAUGCUUUUUCCAGAUUUGUGUGGUUAUUAAGAUCUUCAAUCGCUUUCCUUUAAUCUCUGACUCGUAUGAAGAUAGUGACACUUCUCUCUCUCCCUCUCUCUCUCUCUCUCUCAUAUUUUUUCCUUUUAAAACUUCUUCAUUUUUCAUCUGACCUUUCAUCUCUUCUCUUUUCCUUUCCCUUCCUUUCCUUACCCCUUUUAUCAUCUCUUAAAUUUUACUUUCUUUGUUUCUAAUUUGAUUAUAUUUUACAUAUUUUCUCUCAUAUUACUUCCUAUUUUCUUACCCUUUUAAUCUAUAACCUAUCAUGUUUUUCUCACUUUUUUCAGCUUAUCAUCACUUGAAGCUUUGGAUUUAUGACAUUAUGAGAAUGGGAUAGAUGAAGAGAGCUUCCUUCAGUCCACUCAUGGAAGGGUAAGGGGUUAGAAUUACCUGCUGACUCAUUGAUUCAAACACAAUAGAUAAGGAAUGAUGUAAUGCUAUUGUGAAUGUGUGAAUGAUGCAGGAGGUAAAUUUCUUCCUUUUCUUCUCUUUGCUUGGACUGAAGGGAGCUCCCUUUUUCCGUUUUUAAUAAUAUUUUUUACUUCUCAUUCUUCCCUAUAAUUGAUUGUAACUAUCUAAAGUUGUAUAUUUUGCUAAUAUUCUUGAGCCAUAAUGCGAAGAUCUUCGAGCUGCUGGGUGGAGUUGGGCACUAUUGAGAUGAGAUCUAACCUCAUUUAACAAUAAUUACAUGUAUAUUACAAAAAUUUAGUUAGUUAACAUACUUCUAUUUCAGUGAACUCUCAAUUUCAUCUAGGUUUUUGCUCUGGAAGAAGUCUUGUAUAUGAUCAUGAACCUCAAGUACUGCCAGAUUGUAAACAAGGAUUUUUGUGGGGUAGCUAGAUCCGGAAUGACUAAACCUUAUAGAGAGAAUGACACCAAUGUUUUUGGUUUGUAAUUGUACAAAUCAAAUGAUGGAAUAAAUUACAUCACUCAUGCAUGUAUAUACAUGCUCUAAAGUUUUGUAACUUGGUAAUAUUAUUUUCUUAGAUGUUAAAGUAGACCUUAUUGUCUUGUGGAAGUGGAAUACAAUGAAUUCAAGUGCUUUAUAUAUAUAUAUGUAUGAGAACUUCUUAUAAUA